rnacentral:rRNA from 1 species
UACGUAGGGGGCGAGCGUUAUCCGGAUUUAUUGGGCGUAAAGCGUGUGUAGGCGGUUUAUUAAGUCUAAGAUUAAAGCCUGAGGCUCAACCUCAGUUCGUCUUAGAAACUGGUAGACUUGAGUGUGGUAGAGGCAAGUGGAAUUUCUAGUGUAGCGGUUAAAUGCGUAGAUAUUAGAAGGAACACCAGUGGCGAAGGCGGCUUGCUGGGCCAUUACUGACGCUGAGACACGAAAGCGUGGGGAGCAAA